rnacentral:ncRNA from 1 species
UUAUUUUAUUUUGGUUAAUAUUUUUAUUAUUAUUUUAUUUUACAUGUAAAUUUUUGUGAGAAUUUAUUUAAUUUUUAAAAAAUUAUUUAAUUUAUUAUUUAUUCGCAGUAAUUAAUAUUAAUAUAAAAAGAAAUUUUGUAUUAGUAAUAAUAUAUAGUAUUGGUAAAAUUUGUGCCAGCUACCGCGGUUAUACAAAUAAUACAAAUAAAAAUUUUUAGUAUUAGUUAAAUUGAUUAAUUUUUAAUAUAAAUAUAAAUUUAUUAGGUGAAAUUUUUAAAUUUAUUUAUUAUUAAUUUUAGAAUAAUUUAAGCUAUAAACUUUUUAUAAUAAACUAGGAUUAGAUACCCUAUUAUUAAAAAUAAAUAUAAGUAUACUAAAGUAGUAUUAGUUAUAUUCUUAAAAUUUAAAAAAUUUGGCGGUAUUUUAGUCUAUUCAGAGGAAUCUGUCCUGUAAUUGAUAGUCCACAUUGAACCUUACUUAAGUUUGUUAAAUUUGUAUAUCGCCGUCAUCAGAAUAUAUUAUAAGAUAAAAUUUUCUAAAUAUUUAAUAAAAUAAUAUGUCAGGUCAAGGUGCAGUUUAUAUUUAAGUAGAGAUGGAUUACAAUAAAUUUAUUUAAUAUGGAUAAUUUUUUGAAAUAAAGAAUUGAAAGUGGAUUUGAAAGUAAUAUAAAAUAGAUUAUUUAUAUGAUUUUAGCUCUAAAAUAUGCACAUAUCGCCCAUCGUUCUUAUUUUUAAAAUAAGAUAAGUUGUAACAUAGUAGAUGUACUGGAAAGUGUAUCUAGAAAGA